rnacentral:misc_RNA from 1 species
GAUGAAGAACGCAGUGAAAUGCGAUAAGUAAUGUGAAUUGCAGAAUUCAGUGAAUCAUCGAAUCUUUGAACGCACAUUGCGCCCUCUGGUAUUCCGGGGGGCAUGCCUGUUCGAGCGUCAUUAUAACCACUCAAGCUCUCGCUUGGUAUUGGGGCUCGCGGUUCCGCGGCCCCUAAAAUCAGUGGCGGUGCCUGUCGGCUCUACGCGUAGUAAUACUCCUCGCGAUUGAGUCCGGUAGGUCUACUUGCCAACAACCCCCAAUUUUUACAGGUUGACCUCGGAUCAGGUAGGGAUACCCGCUGAACUUAAGCAUAUCAAUAAGCGGAGGA